rnacentral:misc_RNA from 1 species
CAGAAAUGUGAACGUUUGUGGUCGCGUUUGGGUUGUUGCUGGCCUCUUCUAUGAGGCAUGUGCACACCUUGGACCCAAGUGUUCAAGUCCUUUCUACACACCCUGUGAACCAUCUGUAGCUAGGGAUGAUCACGGAGCCUGUCGGUUUCGAAUGCCCUGGCUAUGAAGCCAUUCUAUGCACGCUUUGUAAAGUUUAUUAGAACGUUUGUGAUCGCGUCUUUGACGGCGUGAAUGGGAAUA